rnacentral:rRNA from 1 species
UACAGAGGUCUCAAGCGUUGUUCGGAUUCAUUGGGCGUAAAGGGUGCGUAGGUGGCGCCGUAAGUCGGGGUGUGAAAUUUCGGAGCUUAACUCCGAAACUGCAUUCGAUACUGCGGUGCUUGAGGACUGGAGAGGAGACUGGAAUUCAUGGUGUAGCAGUGAAAUGCGUAGAGAUCAUGAGGAAGACCAGUGGCGAAGGCGGGUCUCUGGACAGUUCCUGACACUGAGGCACGAAGGCCAGGGGGAGCAAACGGGG